rnacentral:lncRNA from 1 species
CGCACUGCACCCCAACCCCUGCAGCGCGGCCUCGAGAGCCGCCAGCGCCACCUCCACGAGCAGCAGCAGUACCAGGCAACACUGGUGGCACUGCAAGGGGAGAAGCGGCGGCUGCUGGAGACCAUCCUGGAGCAAUAUCGGGGGCUGGAGCCUCGGCUGCCCCACGGCCGGUGAGAGGCUGCCCCAUGGCGGGACCCCCCCCUCACCCCACA